CGAGUCUGCCUUGAAGAUCGGAGUGCUUGCACUCUGUGAAACAAGAUACAGGCUAGCGGCGGACGGGUGAGUAACACGUGGGUAACCUGCCCAAGAGAUCGGGAUAACACCUGGAAACAGAUGCUAAUACCGGAUAACAACAGAUGAUGCCUAUCAACUGUUUAAAAGAUGGUUCUGCUAUCACUCUUGGAUGGACCUGCGGUGCAUUAGCUAGUUGGUAGGGUAACGGCCUACCAAGGCGAUGAUGCAUAGCCGAGUUGAGAGACUGAUCGGCCACAUUUGGACUGAGACACCGCCCAAACUCCUACGGGAGGCAGCAGUAGGGAAUCUUCCACAAUGGACGCAAGUCUGAUGGAGCAACGCCCCGUGAGUGAAGAAGGGUUUCGGCUCGUAAAGCUCUGUUGUUGGUGAA
rnacentral:rRNA from 1 species